rnacentral:rRNA from 1 species
CAGCAGCCACGGGAAUACGAAGGGGGCUAGCGUUGCUCGGAAUCACUGGGCGUAAAGGGCGCGUAGGCGGCCGAUUAAGUCGGGGGUGAAAGCCUGUGGCUCAACCACAGAAUUGCCUUCGAUACUGGUUGGCUUGAGACCGGAAGAGGACAGCGGAACUGCGAGUGUAGAGGUGAAAUUCGUAGAUAUUCGCAAGAACACCAGUGGCGAAGGCGGCUGUCUGGUCCGGUUCUGACGCUGAGGUGCGAAAGCGUGGGGAGCAAACAGGAUUAGAUACCCCUGUAGUCCCUGUCUCUUAUAC